rnacentral:sRNA from 1 species
GGAACACGAAGAGGACGACGUCGGCGUCCUGUUCGAUCGAGCCCGAUUCAC